UACAGUCAUAUCACGGAUGAACGCCGAUUCUCGUACGACCACCGAAAUUAAGCAACGUCGCGUCUGGACAGUACUUGGACUGGUAACCGCUUGGAAAUACCAAGUGUU